rnacentral:misc_RNA from 1 species
CAGUGUUGAACGUAUCAAGUGCCUGAACAUUAAAAUUGCAGUUUUGAGCAGAAUAAUAUUAAUAAUUGCAUCAUUCAGAGAAAGAUACAUUUUAACUAGCUUCACAAUAUAGAUAAAAAAAAAAGACUAAUAUAGAUGCAGCAAAGACUUUAAUAAGGCAGCUGAUUGAAUGCCCAUGAAGUUAGCACUUCAUGAGAUAUGUGGUUUUUGGACUUAUAAAAAUGCCCAAUACUCAAAUAAAUAAAUAAAUAAACAAUUCUGUAUUUUGCAAUUUUUACCAAUCCUUUAAUUUUGGCAAUUUUUCCCAAUUUCCAAUUAACCAAAAGUGGAAUAAAAAUAAUAAUAUAUUAAAAUUUUGAUCAAAAUAAUAAUUUUUAAUAAUUUUCCA